rnacentral:rRNA from 1 species
GUAAUCACUUGUCUUCUAAAUAAAGACUAGUAUGAACGGCUAAAUGAGGAUGAGCCUGUCUCCUACAACUUAUCAGUGAAACUGAUCUUUCAGUCCAAAAGCUGAAAUAUAAACACAAGACGAGAAGACCCUGUGGAGCUUUAGAUUAAGUACUAAUAAGCCAAUAGACACCUAGUACGCAAUCUUAAGUUGGGGCGACUUCGGAAAAAACAAAACUUCCGAGCACAGAAGCACAACUUCUAACAAAGGCAGACAUGCCAAAGAAAAUGUCCGACCCAGUCACACUGAUCAACGAACCAAGUUACCCCAGGGAUAACAGCGCUAUCUUCUUCAAGAGUCCAUAUCGACAAGAAGGUUUACGACCUCGAUGUUGGAUCAGGACACCCAAAUGGUGCAGCCGCUAUUAAAGGUUCGUUUGUUCAACGAUUAAUAGU